AUUGAACGCUGGCGGCAGCCUAACACAUGCAAGUCGAACGGUAACAGGAAGAAGCUUGCUUCUUUGCUGACGAGUGGCGGACGGGUGAGUAAUGUCUGGGAAACUGCCUGAUGGAGGGGGAUAACUACUGGAAACGGUAGCUAAUACCGCAUAACGUCGCAAGACCAAAGAGGGGGACCUUCGGGCCUCUUGCCAUCGGAUGUGCCCAGAUGGGAUUAGCUAGUAGGUGGGGUAACGGCUCACCUAGGCGACGAUCCCUAGCUGGUCUGAGAGGAUGACCAGCCACACUGGAACUGAGACACGGUCCAGACUCCUACGGGAGGCAGCAGUGGGGAAUAUUGCACAAUGGGCGCAAGCCUGAUGCAGCCAUGCCGCGUGUAUGAAGAAGGCCUUCGGGUUGUAAAGUACUUUCAGCGGGGAGGAAGGGAGUAAAGUUAAUACCUUUGCUCAUUGACGUUACCCGCAGAAGAAGCACCGGCUAACUCCGUGCCAGCAGCCGCGGUAAUACGGAGGGUGCAAGCGUUAAUCGGAAUUACUGGGCGUAAAGCGCACGCAGGCGGUUUGUUAAGUCAGAUGUGAAAUCCCCGGGCUCAACCUGGGAACUGCAUCUGAUACUGGCAAGCUUGAGUCUCGUAGAGGGGGGUAGAAUUCCAGGUGUAGCGGUGAAAUGCGUAGAGAUCUGGAGGAAUACCGGUGGCGAAGGCGGNCCCCUGGACGAAGACUGACGCUCAG
rnacentral:rRNA from 1 species